AUCAGCUCUGGGUCCCAGUCUACAUUCCGUGGCAGCCUGGCUCCAACAUCCCAGGGAAUUGUGUCACUCCCAUUGAGCAGCUGUGGGGCCCUCUCCCACAUGGCCCAGGUCCACCACUCUGUCAAAGGUCGCACAGCCCAGACAAAAACAGGACACAGCAGUGUGUGAAUGAGCCGGGCUUUCUCCUUCCCUCCACGUAAUAGAAGGUGCCUGAGGUUGUUGAAACACAGUCCAUUUCUCCUGGGAAUGACAAGAAUUUGAGGGAUGCUGACUUUCAAGGAAUACUGCAUGACAGGCAUCAAGAUAAACCUGAUGAAGAAAACAUAGGCCAGAAUCUGGGAAUCGGGAGCAAAGUAAUACAGCUUCGGGGACAGGCACGUAAUGAGGUCAUGAUGUAGGAGACUCCCUGCAGGACUGGCGGCCCCUGUUCCCUGGGUUGUUCUGGCUCUUUCAGAACCUGACCCUGGAACAGGACUGAGCAGGUGCCUGUGUGCACAGAAGACCUUGUGUGAGUCCUUUGGUACCACGUUUGCUGCACGAAUGUCUGAGACACCUCACAGUCGCUUGGUUCAGCCUCUCCCUCCUCUCUCCGCUGGGGAACAUCAUCCCUCAUCACUGGAAGAAAUUACAAGGAUUGUGUAAACAAUUACAAGUAUUCUACAAACAGUGAGCAUGCUGGUUUGGCCCAUCUAUUUGUAAGAAAAAACAUGGGGUUUUAUGGCAAUGAGUUACAGCUCUGAACUCCUGGCACAAUCACAAAUAUCCUCAGCACAAAACACCAAGUGUAUGUCUCCCUUCUGUCCUAAAAGGGUAGUGUGUGCAACUCAUUGAUGGGGCUCCCAUUUCAUUUUUGAAAGAUCUGCUCACUGAUAAUACCAGUGAGAUUGUUUUCACCAAGAUCUAUGACAUACAAAUAAACUGUUGCUUCAAAAGCAUCUAGCGGCCAA
rnacentral:lncRNA from 1 species